GAACCUGGUGGUUACGCUUGGAGGCGAGAUGGUUUGGUGGGGAAAUUAAAUGAAAAAGCUCGGGAAAGUGAUUGGAAAAGCUUCUCUCUUUGUUUCCUUGUCUGGGUGAUUUCUAAAAUCCUCGUAACGUGCUGGGGAUCCCACGGAACCGCGGUGCCCCAGCGCUGGGGGAUUGUGUGUGCGCGUUGCCAGCGCCAGAGUGUGAGUGUGGGCGCGCCCGGGCGCCAGGAGAGCCAGGCCCGCGGCGCCCGCUGGCGAAUGCCUGAAUCUGGACCACUGACCCACUGAAAGGGCCAGAGAGCUGAACGAAGGAGGAGCAGACAGGAGAGCUGGGCGAGGGAGACGCACCACACACACACACACACACACACACACACACAGAGUCUCGGAGAGGAGGGGGCGGGGUGACGUCACUCCCCAGCAUCCAUCCACCAGGCCAGAAAAGACCCCUUCUAACAAAUUCACUCAUCUCCUAAGAGAUGCACACCCCGGAGCGUCCUGGCGCGCGGGAGGAAAAAAAUGCUGGUCGCGCCCCAUUCAAAGCUGUUAUGAUAAUAUAAGGAGCGCGCGUUGAUGAGACAGUUUGUGUCCGCCCCAGUUCACCUUGGCAGCCUCAUUCUGGGAUGCUUGUAGGAUCCACUUUGGAGUCAGAGAGGAGGAAAGGGAAAUAUCGAAUUAAUCAGUGUAAUAACUCUUGUUUUGCUUCCAUGCUACUUGCUUUUACGAUGUUGGAAAUGCAGUGCUCCCUGGCUUCUCUGAAGGACACCAUCAAACCCUCUCCCUAGACAUCCGCUCAGUUGUUGGGCUACACAAGCUUCAUCCACAGAACCCUUCAUCCACAGCGCACACUGUGUGGAUUGUCGGCUGAGAGGCGAAUUUUAACCUUCUUCACUCCUCCUAGGACCACAAGCGUGUAGAAAAAGUCAACAACUGGAAGCCACCAUCGAAGAUUUAGCCUAGCCAAAUUUUUUUAGCAACUUGGUCAGAAAGGUUAAACAAAGGCAGGGCCUCCAGCCACCUUUCUUGCUCCUUCUGUGUUCAGGCCAGCACAUUUGCACACAGUUCUUAUUCCUGCCGGCUCAAGGCUGUCUUUGAAAGAGCAAAGGUAAGCAGACCCCCUUAGAUUCCGCCUAAUGAUCCGGCAUCCUGACUCUUGUUUCACGCUGCCCAUUUGUUCCCACCAUCUGCAUGCUGGGCUCCUGAAAGGCACUGAAGGAUUGGUCAGUAAUCCUCUGCCUGCUGUGCACGCCAAAAAGAAGUCACAUCUUUGUGAAAGGAGUCUUGCUAAAUGAAGUUUAGUUUUCCAGCAAUUUAAGGGUGGGGGGGCCGGACAUCUUGGCAUGACUCUUCCUUGUUCUUUUUUUAUAGUUAGCCUUAUAGUGAAAAUCAAGAAGAAAUCUAUUCCUGUGUGAGCCCGCAGAGCCAGGUUUACCCUCCAGUCUUUCUGAUGACACAAGGAACUGAAAGGCUGAGCAGGACAAUGUUUCUUGUUGCUGUCAGGCAGCACUGUUCUCUUAAAGAAAAGAAAUCCACGUCUUUCUCUAAAGAAAGGCCUGGAAAGGCCAGGCACUCUACGCUGCCUCUGUUCAGUUUGGCUGCUGCAUUUCACCCUCACCUGCAGUGUGUGGAGGACGUUAUGCUAUGCUCAUUAUCCAUGCAAAGACAUGAACCAACCUGGGACUAUUAACAACGUCUGAUAUCAAGAAGCACGAAAGCAAAUCAAGUCAGGCAGAUGUUUUUUUCUGCCUUCCUCUUGGCAAAGAAACCAGUGGUCAGACAUCUAGAAGCAGCCCUGAAAGGACACUUGACACCCAUGCUUUUUACUUUUUUUGCUCCAUCAAGGGACCUCCUGCCUGGUGAGUCUCAGGCUCUAGGAAAUAUCCUACGUCGUACCAAGUGGAGGGAGCAAGGAACAAGGCGCCUGUUACAAUUUCUCCUUUCUAUCCCUGUACUGCCCUAAAACAGGCUGUAUUCUGAGACUACGAAUGGCAAAACUGCUCAAUUUGGUCAGUCAGUUCUAGGCUGAGUAAAGAAUAGAUGAGAAAUUAGAGUGAAUGCUGAAAGUUAUAGUAUUUUGUCUGUGAUUAAACCCUUCCUGUGCCA